GUCUCGGUAGUGUAAGGGAUAGAGCACGGUGCCCGGAAAGCACAGGUACGGGUUCAAGCCCCGUCUGAGACU
rfam:Haemonchus contortus, ISE/inbred ISE, WGS project CAVP01000000 data, contig: Hcontortus_40740